CCUACGGGACGCAGCAGUGAGGGAUAUUGGUCAAUGGGGGAAACCCCGAACCAGCAACGCCGCGUGAGGGAAGACGGUUUUCGGAUUGUAAACCUCUGUCCUCUGUGAAGAUAAUGACGGUAGCAGAGGAGGAAGCUCCGGCUAACUACGUGCCAGCAGCCGCGGUAAUACGUAGGGGGCAAGCGUUAUCCGGAUUUACUGGGUGUAAAGGGAGCGUAGACGGCUGGCCAAGUCUGAAGUGAAAGCCCGGGGCUUAACCCCGGAACGGCUUUGGAAACUGGCCGGCUGGAGUGCUGGAGAGGCAG
rnacentral:rRNA from 1 species